GUCUGCCGAUGCUGCAAUUUCGCUGUCUCUCUGAAUUCCUGCUACGACUGCCUUGGAUGAUAUAACCUAAGAAGCACAAGGGUAUCCAGUGCACCCAUGACAAAGCUUUCGAUAAGAAAGACAGACCUACAGCCAGGUCCAGAAGGCUAGAUUCUGAGCCAUGGCUGUGGGAGGUGGGCUUCAGAGGAGCACCAGAGCAGCCUAUCAGGAUGCUGGGUGUCACCACACCCAGCUAGAGGUCAGAGGUCAGACCUGAGAGAGAGAACCAGAGAGAGAGGAUGGAGACCAGAGGGCGCAGUACCAGGGCAGGGGUUCUGUUCUGGACCCCUGCUCCUCAACACCCCUCUCCCUCCACCUCCAUAGACUCAGACGUGGACUGGUGGGAUGAGGAUGAGGAGGAAGGUGGGGACAGGAAAGAAGAGGAAGAAGAGGACUUCCACAGCCAGAUGGAUGAGAAUGGGAUUAUAGGACUGGAGAACGCCUUGCAGAAUGUGGGUCUGGGAAAAGAGGAGGAGGAGGGAGAGGAGGAGGGAGUGGAGAAUGGAGAGGAUGAUCUGCCCUGGUACUCUGGAGCCUUGGACCCAGAGGGACCCAGGGAGGGGUUCCUGUCCUCCACUAGGGCAGGUGGGAUUGGGCUGGACCAGAGGUUGGAGCAGGUAGACCCAUUGGAGGAGCUGAGUUAUAACCUGAGUGACCUGCAGAACUCUGAGCCUCUGUCCCAGUCUGAGCCACCUGGAGAGGACACACACACCCUGUCAUUCGAUGUCCUGGAGGCCAAGGACAGUGUGGAGAUCUGGAGUGAGGAUGAGGAGCAGCAGCAAAAGUAUGAAGAGGUGCAGAGCUGGUGGUCCACAGGCAGCGGAUGGAGCAUCUCCCAGAGAGAGACAGACAGCUGGACAUGACAGAGGAUGAAAG
rnacentral:lncRNA from 1 species